GAUGAGCCCGCGUUGGAUUAGCUAGUUGGUGGGGUAAACGCCUACCAAGGCGACGAUCCAUAGCUGGUCUGAGAGGAUGAUCAGCCACAUUGGGACUGAGACACGGCCCAAACUCCUACGGGAGGCAGCAGUGGGGAAUAUUGGACAAUGGGCGCAAGCCUGAUCCAGCCAUGCCGCGUGAGUGAUGAAGGUCUUAGGAUUGUAAAGCUCUUUCACCGGGGACGAUAAUGACGGUACCCGGAGAAGAAGCCCCGGCUAACUUCGUGCCAGCAGCCGCGGUAAUACGAAGGGGGCUAGCGUUGUUCGGAAUUACUGGGCGUAAAGCGCACGUAGGCGGAUAUUUAAGUCAGGGGUGAAAUCCCGGGGCUCAACCCCGGAACUGCCUUUGAUACUGGGUAUCUUGAGUGUGGUAGAGGUGAGUGGAAUUGCGAGUGUAGAGGUGAAAUUCGUAGAUAUUCGCAGGAACACCAGUGGCGAAGGCGGCUCACUGGACCACAACUGACGCUGAGGUGCGAAAGCGUGGAGAGCAAACAGGAUUAGAUACCCUGGUAGUCCACGCC
rnacentral:rRNA from 1 species